rnacentral:rRNA from 1 species
CAUUGAUAAGUUGAACGCAUAUUGCACAUCGUGGGAACCUACCGUGAUGUACACAUACUUGAGC